GACGAACGCUGGCGGCGUGCUUAACACAUGCAAGUCGAGCGAUGAAAGCCUUAUGAACUAUUCGUAGUGAUUGGGGCCGGAUUAGCGGCGGACGGGUGAGUAACGCGUGAGCAACCUGCCUUAAACAACGGGAUAGCCUCGGGAAACCGGGAUUAAUACCGUAUGAGACCCCGCCUUCACAUGAAGAAGAGGUUAAAGAUUUAUCGGUUUAAGAUGGGCUCGCGUCUGAUUAGCUAGUUGGUGAGAUAAAAGACCACCAAGGCAACGAUCAGUAACCGGCUUGAGAGAGUGAACGGUCACAUUGGAACUGAGACACGGUCCAAACUCCUACGGGAGGCAGCAGUGGGGAAUAUUGCACAAUGGGGGAAACCCUGAUGCAGCGACGCCGCGUGAGCGAUGAAGGAAUUCGUUUCGUAAAGCUCUGUCCAAGGGGAAGAUAAUGACAGUACCCUUGGAGGAAGCCCCGGCUAAAUACGUGCCAGCCGCCGCAGUAAUAC
rnacentral:rRNA from 1 species